rnacentral:rRNA from 1 species
ACCCCAUAAUAUAAGAAACGGCAUCGUUUUUUAUUGAAAACUCCGGUGGAUAGAGAUGGGCACGCGCAAGAUUAGAUAGUUGGUGAGGUAACGGCUCACCAAGUCUACGAUCUUUAGGGGGCCUGAGAGGGUGAUCCCCCACACUGGUACUGAGACACGGACCAGACUCCUACGGGAGGCAGCAGUGAGGAAUAUUGGACAAUGGGUGAGAGCCUGAUCCAGCCAUCCCGCGUGAAGGACGACGGCCCUAUGGGUUGUAAACUUCUUUUGUAUAGGGAUAAACCUACCCUCGUGAGGGUAGCUGAAGGUACUUUAUUUUAUAAGCACCGGCUAACUCCGUGCCAGCAGCCGCGGUAAUACGGAGGGUGCAAGCGUUAUCCGGAUUUAUUGGGUUUAAAGGGUCCGUAGGCGGAUGUGUAAGUCAGUGGUGAAAUCUCACAGCUUAACUGUGAAACUGCCAUUGAUACUGCAUGUCUUGAGUGUUGUUGAAGUAGCUGGAAUAAGUAGUGUAGCGGUGAAAUGCAUA